AUGAACGCUAGCGACAGGCCUAACACAUGCAAGUCAGGGGCAGCACAAGGAGCAAUCUGAGGUGGCGACCGGCGCACGGGUGAGUAACACGUAUGCAACCUGCCUGUAAGCGGGGAAUAACCCGUUGAAAGACGGACUAAUACCGCAUAAUACUAAAUUACUGCAUGGUAAUUUAUUUAAACAUUUAUGGCUUACAGAUGGGCAUGCGCAUGAUUAGCUAGUUGGAGAGGUAACGGCUCCCCAAGGCAACGAUCAUUAGGGGUUCUGAGAGGAAGGUCCCCCCACACUGGUACUGAGACACGGACCAGACUCCUACGGGAGGCAGCAGUGAGGAAUAUUGGUCAAUGGACGAGAGUCUGAACCAGCCAAGUCGCGUGCAGGAAGAAUGUCCUAUGGAUUGUAAACUGCUUUUGCAGGGGAAUAAAGUGCAUCACGUGUGAUGUUUUGUAUGUACUCUGCGAAUAAGGAUCGGCUAACUCCGUGCCAGCCGCCGC
rnacentral:rRNA from 1 species